rnacentral:rRNA from 1 species
GACGAACCGUGCGAACGUUAUUCGGAAUCACUGGGCUUAAAGGGCGCGUAGGCGGGCUGUCAAGUCUGGGGUGAAAUCCCACGGCUCAACCGUGGAACUGCCUCAGAUACUGACGGCCUCGAGGAAGGUAGGGGCAUGCGGAACUGUAGGUGGAGCGGUGAAAUGCGUUGAUAUCUACAGGAACUCCGGUGGCGAAAGCGGCGUGCUGGACCUUUUCUGACGCUGAGGCGCGAAAGCUAGGGGAGCAAACGGG